ensembl:lncRNA
GGUUCCCAAUGCCUCUCUGUGGGUCCCUAUGGGUCCCAAUGUGUCCCUAUGGGUCCCAAUGCCUCUCUCUGGGUCCCUAUGUGUCCCUAUGUGUCCCUAUGGGUCCCAAUGUGUCCCUAUGGGUCCCAAUGCCUCUCUGUGGGUCGCUAUGGGUCCCGUCAGCGCUGUGUGCCCCAUAGGCGUCGCUAUGUGUCCCUAUGUGUCCCUAUGGGUCCCUAUGUGUCCCUAUGGGUCCCUAUGGGUCCCUAUGGGUCCCUAUGGGUCCUAUUGUGUCCCCAAGUGCCUCUCUGUGGGUCCCUAUGGGUCCCUAUGUGUCCCUAUGGGUCCCAAUGCUUCUCUGUGGGUCCCUAUGUGUCCCUAUGGGUCCCUAUGUGUCCCAAUGCCUCUCUAUGUGUCCCUAUGUGUCCCUAUGGCUCUCUAUGUGUCCCUAUGUGUCCCUAUGUGUCCCUAUGGGUCGCUAUGGGUCCCGUCAGCGCUGUGUGCCCCAUAGGCGUCGCUAUGUGUCCCUAUGUGUCCCUAUGGCUCUCUAUGGGAUCUCUAUGGCUCUCUCUGUGGGUCCCUAUGUGUCCCUAUGUGUCCCUAUGGGUCCCAAUGCCUCUCUAUGUGUCCCUAUGGGUCCCUAUGCGUCGCUAUGUGUCCCUAUGUGUCCCUAUGGUGUCCUAUGGGUUGCUAUGUGUCCCUAUGUGUCCCUAUGGGUCCCUAUGGGUCCCAAUGUGUCCCUAUGUGUCCCUAUGGGUCCCUAUGUGUCCCAAUGCCUCUCUAUGUGUCUCUAUGGCUCUCUAUGUGUCCCUAUGUGUCCCUAUGGGUCCCAAUGUGUCCCUAUGGGUCCCAAUGCCUCUCUGUGGGUCCCUAUGGGUCUCUAUGUGUCCCUAUGGGUCCCAGUG